AUUGAACGCUGGCGGCAUGCCUUACACAUGCAAGUCGAACGGCAGCAUGGGUGCUUGCACCUGGUGGCGAGUGGCGAACGGGUGAGUAAUACAUCGGAACAUGUCCUGUAGUGGGGGGUAGCCCGGCGAAAGCCGGAUUAAUACCGCAUACGAUCUACGGAUGAAAGCGGGGGACCUUCGGGCCUCGCGCUAUAGGGUUGGCCGAUGGCUGAUUAGCUAGUUGGUGGGGUAAAGGCCUACCAAGGCGACGAUCAGUAGCUGGUCUGAGAGGACGACCAGCCACACUGGGACUGAGACACGGCCCAGACUCCUACGGGAGGCAGCAGUGGGGAAUUUUGGACAAUGGGCGAAAGCCUGAUCCAGCAAUGCCGCGUGUGUGAAGAAGGCCUUCGGGUUGUAAAGCACUUUUGUCCGGAAAGAAAUCCUUGGCCCUAAUACGGUCGGGGGAUGACGGUACCGGAAGAAUAAGCACCGGCUAACUACGUG
rnacentral:rRNA from 1 species